GAUGAAGAACGCAGCGAAAUGCGAUAAGUAGUGUGAAUUGCAGAAUUCCGUGAAUCAUCGAAUCUUUGAACGCACAUUGCGCCCCCUGGUAUUCCGGGGGGCAUGCCUGUCCGAGCGUCAUUACAACCCUCAAGCUCAGCUUGGUGUUGGGCCCCGCCGCCCCGGCGGGCCCUAAAGUCAGUGGCGGUGCCGUCCGGCUCCGAGCGUAGUAAUUCUUCUCGCUCUGGAGGUCCGGUCGUGUGCUCGCCAGCAACCCCCAAUUUUUUUCAGGUUGACCUCGAAUCAGGUAGGGAUACCCGCUGAACUUAAGCAUAUCAAUAAGCGGAGGA
rnacentral:misc_RNA from 1 species